rnacentral:misc_RNA from 1 species
AGUUAGCUAGACCAGUUCCAAACGUUUGCAUGCUCUUUAGGAUUGCAGGUGUCAAGAUUUUGUGGAUUUAACGUAGUGUUCGUAUCAUAAGGAAAUUUGCCUUUUGGUUGUGAUACACUUGUUCCAGUAAACUAUUCAGUUUCAUGUAAACAAAGCUGUGCAUUGUUAGGUAUUGUACAUAUGCUAGUUUGUUUUCAGUGCUUAUGCAAAUCAAACCCAUUCUCCACAGACAAGGUGAGAUAACUGCGGAAUGAAAUACAGGGUAUGAAUGUGGGGCAGUGUGUUCUGGUGCAGUAUAUUUAUUUUUAUAAGGAUAAUCGAUUUAUAUUAAUUAAAAACACCUCAAUUAGUAUGGCUGGAGCUUCAUCCCUAGAGAUUGACUUGUUGUAGAAGGCUGUCUUUUCAGAAUCAGAUAUGCAAUUUUACAUUAGUGUCACAUUGUGAUCAAUGUUUUGUAUCAUUUUUUUUUAAACGUACACUUUUAAAAGUGUUACUCUUGAAAAGAGAGGUAUAUGGCUGUAUAUUUUUAAUAAUAAUAAUUUUUUACUGUAUAUUCAUCUUUUAAUUAUUUAUUGGAAUGUUUUCUUCUUUGAUAAACAUUUUUAUCCACUUGCUUUGGAAGCAACCUUUUAUUAUAUAGAGCUGAUCAUCACAAAUUUCAAGUGAAGUAAGCAAAUAUUUUAGAAAUUUACUCUGGUUUUAAAAUGAAUUUUUUAAAUACAUGUAAAUCUCUUCUUGAUUGUACAUUACAUUUUUCACUGCCUUGGGCUGUUUCAUAAGGUGAGGAGUCAGCUUUUUUAUUUCUAUGUUCAGACUUCUUAAUAAUUUUGUUCAGCAUUCUAACCUUUAGCCUGUAUGGUGAAUUUUAUUCAUGUUGUCAGGUUUUGUAAAGAAAUGGUUAAAAUUGAAAUAAUUUUCUUGAUAUGUUUUAACGAUGAAGUGUGAGUGUGCAAUUUCUAAACUUAUUUACAUGGUUCCUCGUCUUUUAUGACUGCCAUAUCAAAUUUUUUUUCAGUGUCAAAAUUAAAUAAAUAUUUGUACAGUGUAUCAUAUGGUACUCUGUAAACGCAGGGAAGAUAUUAAUUUUUUAAUCGCUGUCUCUCAAAAAUCAGAAAAAAAUAUGAUAACAAAUUGCUAAUACCUCGUUCAUAACAAUAAUGUAAUUUCUCUACUCAUCUAAUUUUUUUGUAAGAUUGGUUGGUUGUGCCUCAGAGACAUUCAGUAUUCAUGAUAGAUGAGUUCAGGGGUUGGUAGACUCACACACUCAAAUCUAGUCAUCCCUGAUGACCAAGGGGAAUUUCGAAAGAAGACGAACCCUGUUUCGAGAAGCCUUCUAAAUUGUCUUCUUUGAAAACCAUUCUUUUUUUUCUGGAAGGCUUAUGUGAUAUUAAAAUUUACAGCAUAAUCCAUGCUUGACAAUAUUUCAUGUUACUUUAUAAUUUGAUUUUAAGAAAUUGAAAGAUGAUUUAUUUUAUAAUAAAUUAAAUUAGAAAAAUAGAACAGAUUAGUUGGUCAGAAUUCAAAUUUUUAGCCAUAUUGUAUCGAAGUUAGAUUUGUAAAAAAAAAAAUCGAAUUUCAUGACGAUUGUCAAUUUCAAUUUAAAUUAUGUAGAACUAUUGGACAUUAUGUAAUCAAGACCACUGCAUAUUUUGUAAUUAUAGUUAACUCAUAUAUCUCUGUAUCUCAGCUACCUCAUAUCUCGUAAAUAAAAAACCUGGAAAAAUAUUGUAUCACUACCAACCAAAGAAAAUGUAGUACAUGUAAUUACUUUACUUAUUCCUGUAUAAUCUGGGGUUUUGUAACAGUUAUAUUGAUUAUUAUAUUGAUUAUAUAGAAAAAUAAGAAAACAGUUUGACCAAAGAGAAUUGGAAAAUUGUCUGAUAUUUACCGUCUGUUUAUAAAUUAUCUCAUUUUUCUUUCUCCAUUGUAUUUUUUUUUCAAAAACCACACUUUUGGUCCAAACCAACGUCUGAUGUACAUAUGGUGUUAAAUUGUAUUUGCAAGCAUUGAAUAAAAAUGACAAAACUUGGAAUUU